CCCAACAAUGUGGAGAGAAACAACAGGUGUAGACUAACAGUGAAAUGCUUAGUUACGGGCCCUUCCCAACAAUGUGGAGAGAAACAACAGGUGUAGACUAACAGUGAAAUGCUUAGUUACGGGCCCUUCCCAACAAUGUGGAGAGAAACAACAGGUGUAGACUAACAGUGAAAUGCUUAGUUACGGGCCCUUCCCAACAAUGUGGAGAGAAACAACAGGUGUAGACUAACAGUGAAAUGCUUAGUUACGGGCCCUUCCCAACAAUGUGGAGAGAAACAACAGGUGUAGACUAACAGUGAAAUGCUUAGUUACGGGCCCUUCCCAACAAUGUGGAGAGAAACAACAGGUGUAGACUAACAGUGAAAUGCUUAGUUACGGGCCCUUCCCAACAAUGUGGAGAGAAACAACAGGUGUAGACUAACAGUGAAAUGCUUAGUUACGGGCCCUUCCCAACAAUGUGGAGAGAAACAACAGGUGUAGACUAACAGUGAAAUGCUUAGUUACGGGCCCUUCCCAACAAUGUGGAGAGAAACAACAGGUGUAGACUAACAGUGAAAUGCUUAGUUACGGGCCCUUCCCAACAAUGUGGAGAGAAACAACAGGUGUAGACUAACAGUGAAAUGCUUAGUUACGGGCCCUUCCCAACAAUGUGGAGAGAAACAACAGGUGUAGACUAACAGUGAAAUGCUUAGUUACGGGCCCUUCCCAACAAUGUGGAGAGAAACAACAGGUGUAGACUAACAGUGAAAUGCUUAGUUACGGGCCCUUCCCAACAAUGUGGAGAGAAACAACAGGUGUAGACUAACAGUGAAAUGCUUAGUUACGGGCCCUUCCCAACAAUGUGGAGAGAAACAACAGGUGUAGACUAACAGUGAAAUGCUUAGUUACGGGCCCUUCCCAACAAUGUGGAGAGAAACAACAGGUGUAGACUAACAGUGAAAUGCUUAGUUACGGGCCCUUCCCAACAAUGUGGAGAGAAACAACAGGUGUAGACUAACAGUGAAAUGCUUAGUUACGGGCCCUUCCCAACAAUGUGGAGAGAAACAACAGGUGUAGACUAACAGUGAAAUGCUUAGUUACGGGCCCUUCCCAACAAUGUGGAGAGAAACAACAGG